rnacentral:rRNA from 1 species
CGAGUGAAGCGGCAACAGCUCAAAUUUGAAAGCUGGCUCCUUUGGAGUCCGCGUUGUAAUUUGUAGAGGAUGAUUCGGCAAGGGCUCCCGCCUAAGUCUCCUGGAACGGAGCGUCAUAGAGGGUGAGAAUCCCGUAUGCGGUGGGCUGCCUAAGCCAUGUGAAUCUCCUUCGACGAGUCGAGUUGUUUGGGAAUGCAGCUCUAAAUGGGAGGUAAAUUUCUUCUAAAGCUAAAUACCGGCCAGAGACCGAUAGCGCACAAGUAGAGUGAUCGAAAGAUGAAAAGCACUUUGGAAAGAGAGUUAAAAAGUACGUGAAAUUGUUGAAAGGGAAGCGCUUGCAGCCAGACUUGUCCGCAGUUGCUCAGCCGGUCUCCUGACCGGUGUACUCUUCUGCGGCCAGGCCAGCAUCAGUUCGGGCGGUCGGACAAAGACCUCGGGAAUGUAGCUCCUCUCGGGGAGUGUUAUAGCCCGGGGUGGAAUGCGGCCAGCCUGGACUGAGGAUCUCGCUUCGGCUAGGAUGCUGGCGUAAUGGCUGUAAGCGGCCCGUCUUGAAACACGGACC